GACGAACGCUGGCGGCGUGCUUAACACAUGCAAGUCGAACGAUGAAGCCCAGCUUGCUGGGUGGAUUAGUGGCGAACGGGUGAGUAACACGUGGGCAACCUGCCCCAAACUCUGGGAUAACUCCUCGAAAGAGGUGCUAAUACCGGAUACGAACUAGGUAGACAUCUGCACUAGUUGGAAAGUUUUUCGGUUUGGGAUGGGCCCGCGGCCUAUCAGCUUGUUGGUGAGGUAACGGCUCACCAAGGCUACGACGGGUAACCGGCCUGAGAGGGCGAACGGUCACACUGGGACUGAGACACGGCCCAGACUCCUACGGGAGGCAGCAGUGGGGAAUAUUGCGCAAUGGGCGAAAGCCUGACGCAGCGACGCCGCGUGAGGGAUGAAGGUCUUCGGAUCGUAAACCUCUUUCAGUAGGGACGAAGCGAAAGUGACGGUACCUAAAGAAGGAGCACCGGCUAACUACGUGCCAGCAGCCGCAGUAA
rnacentral:rRNA from 1 species